rnacentral:rRNA from 1 species
UACGAAGGGUGCAAGCGUUACUCGGAAUUACUGGGCGUAAAGCGUGCGUAGGUGGUGAGUUAAGUCUGAUGUGAAAUCCCCGGGCUCAACCUGGGAAUGGCAUUGGAUACUGGCUCGCUAGAGUGCGGUAGAGGGUGGUGGAAUUCCCGGUGUAGCAGUGAAAUGCGUAGAGAUCGGGAGGAACAUCUGUGGCGAAGGCGAGUCUCUGGACGACUCCUGACACUGAGGCACGAAAGCUAGGGGAGCAAACAGG